GACAGAUGUGUCCGUACUUGUUGCACGUCAUGUCGUCACACGUCAUCAGAGUGCGCAGCUGAACAUUGUAUGCUGGAAAACAUUCGGUUUGUUAUUUUUGGUUGAAACAAAACCGAUAUUCAUUAAAUACGAAUACAGAACAUGUUUUUGCAUCGAACCCGCGACACGGUUUGCUUUUAACAGCAAGGACCGCUAUUUCUUGUCCCGGAAUCCUGCUUAACAGACCGGUUUAAGCCUGCUUGACAGAGAAGCUAAACUGCUAGCCAUCAAGCUAACAAAGUUAGUACCAGAUGAGUUUUGUCUGAAGAAAUAACGGUUCCAGCGCUGAAGGAGCUGUAUCUAUUACGCACUGUUUCAGGACAAACCGGAUCACUCGGAGUUCCAUUGGCAAUUGUUUACCUGCCGAGGAUUUCCUCCUCCUUCUUGACAGAAGUGAUUCUGGGCAGCUCCAUGGUCUCACUGAGACAGAGCAGGUAGCUCUCUGGAGGAUCUGUCACCACACCAUCACACUCCCCCUCCUCCACAUCAACCAGACUAUGCACUGGGUUGACGUCUGAUACCCAGGGUCAAGGUUUAAUAAGCACACUAUAGUGGGCUGAAGUCAUCACACACAGGAGGACACUACUGCAGCUGUGAGCAGUUGACUACUCUUAUGCCCGGUCCAUACAUCACCUAUUUGGAUAUGGUGAAUAACACAACACACACACCAGCAUAUGUAAGGAUACCCUCCCCCACCAGUGUAGACUUUGUGUAGAGAGCGCUGAGUUGGCGGGUGAACAAAGUGUUCUUAUUGACUCCGGAGGCCUUAAUGGCAGACGUCUCUGUCUGCUUCACCACGCCCACCUGAGGUGAGAGAACCAAUCACAGUCAUUCAAACGUAAACCAGACACACUAACAUCUGUCAUCACUGACAAAUAAUUAUUGUUCUUCCUAAAUUAAUGUCCGAGAUUAAUAGCAUUUGACUGUUAAUCUGUGGCAGACAAUACCAUCACACAUAAACAAAGGCUAUGGUGACAUUUAACAGUUGUAUGCAUAAAACAUUUCACAUUGCAUUACUUAAAAUACUCUGUCUGCCCUUUGACUUCGAUAAUGAGUUGCAACAGUAAUGGGCCUGACUGGAGAAUCUUGAAUCUGCCCUGUUCCACACCUUGUAGCCCUGGGAGACAAGGCGUCGUACGUGAACGAACAAGCGGUGUGUGGGAAUGCUACACGUCAUGAAGUUAUGGUCCAGGUACUGCUGCUCCAGAGGAGUGUACCCACUCUUAGAGAUCCUACAGGGGGCACUGGUCACAGAGACUUCACCCCCUACUCCUGGAGGAGUCUUCAUUAUACCCCCCCUUCUUCUUCUUCUUCCUCCUUCUCCUGGCUUGGCAAACUGAAUGAGGCUGAGGGCCUGGGGAGGAUCACAACAAUAACGUUUCCAUUUAAAGCUGCAAUAUGUAACUUUUUGGGUGACAUGACCAAAUUCACAUAGAAAUGUGUGUUAUAGAUGUGUCAUUCUCAUUGAAAGCAAGUAAGAAGAGUUAGAUCUGUUAUAUGUGUACUAUUGCUAUGCUUCCUGUUCUUAAGUUGAAUUUUUGCAUCUUUUACUUUCGGUUUUGUACAGCAGCUUCAAACAGCUGAAAAUACAAUAUUUUUGGUUAUGGAGAACAUAUUUCACAGCAGUGUAGAUGGUACAAUGAUUCUUUACAUUAUACUUGCUUCUUUUGUCACAAACUGACAUUAAGCAAACUAUUAGAAUUUUAGCAGCUAGUUAAUGCCGGAGCGAUUUCUACAUAGUGCAACUUUAACAUUCAGUUUCAAACUCACAGAUUAAAAUUAAUUAGGAGAAAAUAAAAUGAGAAAGGUGAUGAUGAUCUCCUACCUGUUUUUUGGUUGAUGGCUCUGGACUCCGCCACUCCUCUUCUUCGCUUUUCUGUCUCUCUUUAUCACCAGUCAUUUCUCUGUGGGCCACAGCCUCCCUACCUCCUACAUCCCCAGGCCCCUUACCUCCAUGAGCACACCCAUCACCUACAUCACCAGGCCUACCACCUGCAUCCCCAGGCCUGCCACCCGCAGGGCAGACAAAGCCCUUCAGUCUAUCCAGGGUGGAAGAGGAGAGGCUGCCUGCCCCUCGAGAGGAGGGGGCCCUGAUUUCUGAUGGAAGAAAGGGAUAAGAGUUUAAAUGAAAAUUGGUAGUGGCUGUGUAAACAAACAAAGUGUAAAUUGCAGGCAAAUUGAAUUAUUUCUAAGUAAGUACAUAUUUAUACACUCUCCUUCAAGGUAAAUAAUUUUCUUAUUUGGGUUAACAUUUUCAGGGGGGUGCCUACUAUAAUUCUGAGUGUGGACUGGACAAGCCUCCACUCUCUAAUUUGAAGCUUCCAAAAUAGUUAACAGCUCUUUUACAUGUCAGAAUGUUGAAUAAACUUCAUUUGAAGUUAGUCUGCCUAGUGUCCACUGAUUUCAUCCUUAUAUUGUUGGAAAUUUGAAAUAAAAUAUCCACAGGAAAGUAUUAUUAAUCGCACUUCAAAAUGUGUGUUUCUGAGCGUGGCUCUAACAGCUUGUUAGUUAAUCAUGUGCACACGCAAGUACAUGCACGGAUACACGUGCACAACGUAAGUACAUGCACACAAUGCACGCAUACCUACCAAGCUCUUGUAGGUGUUUAUAUGGUUUUGCCCAUGUGCCAGGAGAUUGAAAUCUCAACGGCAGUACCAGUGUUUUGAAAAGUCGGUUUAAUAAUACUUUCCUGUGGAUAUUUUGUAUAAAAUGUUCAGAGGCAUAAGGACCAACCGCCUAGACAAACGGUAGAGUAAGCUCAAAUAACAUUUUAUUCAUCAUUCUGGCUUAUAGCAGUUGUCAAAGGAAACAACUACCUGUUGUUGUUGUCUUAGCUGAUUAGCUGUUGUUGUCUUACCCGUUGUUGUCUUAGCUAGC